rnacentral:rRNA from 1 species
AUUGAACGCUGGCGGCAUGCUUUACACAUGCAAGUCGAACGGUAACAGGUUAAGCUGACGAGUGGCGAACGGGUGAGUAAUGCAUCGGAACGUGCCCGAUCGUGGGGGAUAACGCAGCGAAAGCUGCGCUAAUACCGCAUACGAUCUGAGGAUGAAAGCGGGGGACCGUAAGGCCUCGCGCGAUCGGAGCGGCCGAUGUCAGAUUAGGUAGUUGGUGGGGUAAAGGCUCACCGAGCCAACGAUCUGUAGCUGGUCUGAGAGGACGACCAGCCACACUGGGACUGAGACACGGCCCAGACUCCUACGGGAGGCAGCAGUGGGGAAUUUUGGACAAUGGGCGAGAGCCUGAUCCAGCAAAGCCGCGUGCAGGAAGAAGGCCUUCGGGUUGUAAACUGCUUUUGUACGGAGCGAAAAGGUUCUCUCUAAUACAGAGGGCUCAUGACGGUACCGUAAGAAUAAGCACCGGCUAACUACGUGCCAGCCGCCGCCGUAA